rnacentral:rRNA from 1 species
AUUGAACGCUGGCGGCAGGCCUAACACAUGCAAGUCGAACGAGUGGCGGACGGGUGAGUAAUGUCUGGGAAACUGCCUGAUGGAGGGGGAUAACUACUGAAAACUGUAGCUAAUACCUCAUACCAUCAUAUGUGCCCAGAUGGGAUUGGCUUGUUGGUGGGGUACCGGCUCACCAAGGCGACGAUCCCUAGCUGGUCUGAGAUGAUAACCAGCAACACUGGAACUUAGACACGGUCCAGACGCCUACGGGAGGCAGCAGUGGGGAAUAUUGAACAAUGGGCGCAAGCCUGAUGCAGCCAUGCCGCGUGUAUGAAGAAGGCCUUCGGGUUGUAAAGUACUUUCAGCGGGGAGGCGUUACCCGCAGAAGAAGCACCGGCUAACGCCGUGCCAGCAGCCGCGGUAAUUC